AGGAAGCUGAAGGACAUUAAGUACAGGUUGUUUGGAGAUCUAAUAAAGCUGGGAAAAGAAAAGACUGAAAGUACAUGAGAUAUUUGCAAGCAGUUAAGGGGCUGUCACAUGGAGGAAGGAUUAGAUUUGUUCUGUUUGGACCAAGAGGAAAGAACUGGGAACAAUGGAAGGAAAAACUUUCUAACAGUGAUCUAAAGGUGAGAUCUGAUGCCUCAAGACAUGGAGAUCUUCUAGCAAAGCUGACCACUUGUUUGGAAAUCAAUCAAUGCUGGUCCCUGUCUUGUCUACAACUUAUCAUCUUAGGGAGUCACUUUGAACCAUGUGCCCAGAUUAUACAAGUCAGCGGUAUAUGCCAAAGGCAGGAGAGAUUCAAAUGA
rnacentral:lncRNA from 1 species